UACGGGGGGGGCAAGCGUUGUUCGGAAUUACUGGGCGUAAAGGGCUCGUAGGCGGCCAACUAAGUCAGACGUGAAAUCCCUCGGCUUAACCGGGGAACUGCGUCUGAUACUGGAUGGCUUGAGGUUGGGAGAGGGAUGCGGAAUUCCAGGUGUAGCGGUGAAAUGCGCAGAUAUCGGGAGGAACACCAGUGGCGAAGGCGGCUCGCUGGGCCAUUCCUGACGCUGAGACGCGAAAGCUAGGGGAGGCGAACAGG
rnacentral:rRNA from 1 species